rnacentral:rRNA from 1 species
AUUGAACGCUGGCGGCAGGCCUAACACAUGCAAGUCGAGCGGAGCGGCGGACGGGUGAGUAAUGCCUAGGAAUCUGCCUGGUAGUGGGGGAUAACGUCCGGAAACGGGCGCUAAUACCGCAUCCUAUCAGAUGAGCCUCGGUCGGAUUAGCUCGUUGGUGGGGUAAAGGCCUACCAAGGCGACGAUCCGUAACUGGUCUGAGAGGAUGAUCAGCCACACUGGAACUGAGAAACGGCCCAGACUCCUACGGGAGGCAGCAGUGGGGAAUAUUGGACAAUGGGCGAAAGCAUGAUGCAGCCAUGCCGCGGGUAUGAAGAAGGCCUUCGGGUUGUAAAGUACUUUAAGCGAGGAGGCGUUACUAGCAGAAGAAGCACCGGCUAACUACGUGCCAGCAGCCGCGGUAAUAC